AGGCAAAAUGCAGUGAUGAUAUGCCAAUGCCAAGUUUAUUCCAUUUGUGGUAUCAGAGCAAGGUUAAUCGAGAAUCAAAUUCAAGUGACAAUCUGGAAAUCAAGAACAACGAAUUGAAGAAAUUAGGACCAAGAAUCUGAUCAAACGAAGAAGAAGAAUUCCGCUGCAAACUAUAUCAGAAAUCAUUACUCUGUUUUUAUUUAAAUACAUCUGGACGAAGAGUAUCAUAAAAUUCCGCUGCACACGGAACGGAAUCAGAAAAGGAAGAUGAUCAGACAAAAGAAAAGAAAUCGAAAAGAAGUCUGGGUGCGCAGAUCAGAAACGAGAAAGGAACGCAUCAUUCUUGAAGAAAUCAAGAGUUUUACGGGCUGGUAAUCGAACAAUCAUCGGAAAAGUUGCAAUCGUAAACAAAGCAUCAGGAAACGAUCCGAGGGAUUUCGAAACGCUGCGCAAACCGGAAUAUAAAGAACAUUCAAGGAAAGAAAGACGAUUCAACACAAGAUUGUUGAAAAGGAAUUAAUUCCAAUUUUCGAUCCAGGGAGGAACAAACACUAGUGAGCGAUACCAGAAGAACAUCAAAAAAAUACGGUUAUGAUUUGUCUGUUAUACGGGACGAAUCAGAUUUAAAGAAGAGCGACAUAUGCAGGAAGUCGAUAAACAUAGAAGAUCUCUUUCUUAAGAAGAAGAAAAAGAAGAGAAGAUACAUGUUCAAGAAACAGGAAAAAGAAUUACGAAACGAAGAAUCAUCGCAGAAUUACGAAACGGGAUUAAUUUGAUUCAUAUAUGACACCGAGUUCAUACUCUCAUAUAUGAAAAAAGGAAUUAAUCGAGAUGACUCCGCAUGGUGUUGAGUAAAAGACGACUCCGCAUGGCGUUGAGUAGAAGAUGACUCCGCAUGGCGUUGAGUAAAAGAUGACUCCGCAUGACGUUGAGUAGAAGAGAGACAGGAGCGAUGAUGAAUAUACAAUUGCCGGCAACAAAACAUUCAGAUCCGACAUGAUGUUUCCAUUGCCGGCAACAAAGAAAGGUAAAUACAGAAGAAAGAGACAAGACGUUGAAGAACGAAGAUGUUUCAAGAAUGAAGGCAGCAAGACAUUCAGAUCUGCAAGAUCGGAAGAAAGAUAAUAUGAAGACAACUACACUUCAAAUUUGUUAGGAAACUGGAAUGCGGACAAACGUUUUAAUAAACGAAGGAGGUUUCAAUGUUCCCAGGAUUAACCAAGUUUAGUUUAGGGGCAGGUGUUAGACUAUAUAAACUAAACUAUAUGUAUUAUGUUAUUAUUUUAGUAUUUAGGUUAGGAUUAAGAUUUAAAUAUUAUAAAACGGUUGGUAAUAGGUGUGUCGGUUGACAAACCGUCACCACCACCGUAUAUAUAUGAUGUAUUCACUAUUGUUUAUGGUUACCAAGACAAUUCAGAAUUAUCAAUUCGAAUUGUCCAUUCUUUAAUA